rnacentral:rRNA from 1 species
AUUGAACGCUGGCGGCAUGCCUUACACAUGCAAGUCGAACGGCAGCGCGGGGGCAACCUGGCGGCGAGUGGCGAACGGGUGAGUAAUAUAUCGGAACAUACCCUAGAGUGGGGGAUAACGUAGCGAAAGUUACGCUAAUACCGCAUACGCACUAAGGUGGAAAGUGGGGGAUCUUCGGACCUCAUGCUCAUGGAGUGGCCGAUAUCUGAUUAGCUAGUUGGUGAGGUAAAAGGCUCACCAAAGGCGACGAUCAGUAGCUGGUUUUGAGAGAACGACCAAGCCACACUGGAACUGAGACACGGUCCAGACUCCUACGGAGGCAGCAGUGGGGAAUUUUGGACAAUGGGGGCAACCCUGAUCCAGCAAUGCCGCGUGAGUGAAGAAGGCCUACGG